AUUGAACUCUGGCGGCAGGCUUAACACAUGCAAGUCGAGCGAGCGGCGGACGGGUGAGUAAUGUCUGGGAAUCUGCCUGAUGGAGGGGGAUAACUACUGGCAACGGUAGCUAAUACCGCAUACCCUCGGAUGUGCCCAGAUUGGAUUAGCUAGUAGGUGGGGUAAAGGCUCACCUAUGCGACGAUCCGUAGCUGGUCUGAGAGGAUGACCAGCCACACUGAAACUGAGGCACGGUCCAGACUCCUACGAGAGGCGGCAGUGGGGAAUAGUGCACAAUGGGCGAAAGCCUGAUGCAGCCAUGCCGCGUGGAUGAAGAAGGCCUUCGGGUUGUAAAGUACUUUCAGCGGGGAGGCGUUACCCGCAGAAGAAGCACCGGCUAACUCCGUGCCAGCGGCCGCGGUAAUUC
rnacentral:rRNA from 1 species